ACUUUCUUAUCAGCUAAUAAACGACACGGUGCAUAUAUAUUCAUCAUACGUGAAUAUGUUUAGAUAAGACGUGGUAAAUAUUAUCUGGAUCCCCUUAAAUAAUAAAAAUUUAUAAAUACGGGUUCGUAUUGAUUGCGGCGUGGGCGGCAACGUCGCCGGGUUCGGCAACGUAGUAGUGUACGGGUAUUUGCCGCUGCCGCCGCCGCUCGAGUACAUACUAAUUCCGUCCCGAGGGUUAUGAUCAAUGUGUGGCUGGCGACCGCCUAGAGAUGAAAAAAAAGUCUCGAUUUUUAUGUCGUCUGCAGCGUUGCCGGUUCUCAUUCGCCACUGCGUUCACACACUAACCCACACCGUGUGAAUGUCUUCUCGUUGUAUGAGCGUGUGUGCCGCAUACGUGCACCGUCACCGAUGACCUCAAUUUCAGGUGUAGUCCGACCAAGUUUCUUAACAUGACAAAAUCUUCAACACAUAGUCUACAGAAAUUUUGAUUAAAAAAAAUUUUUCCCAAAGGAGUCAAAUUCGUUGAAAAGGAAAACCCUUAUUGUGGUUGAAUUUGUGUAUAGUAGUAGUGAUCCGUAUCUGUUGGAGACGUCGAAAAACGUGUGCUCGCUUGAACGGGACGACUGCCCACAGAAUCCGUGUAAUAUCCCUAGUGGGGCGUGGUUGCAACUGGCACACCGGCGAAUUCGACGACGUCAUAUUGAUCACGCGGGAGGUCGCUUAUCACCGCACACACAUUCUCGCACAAAGGGCCCUAGCUUCCCUCUUCUACCUUCCGUUCGUAAGCGACCUUUUGUGUGUUGUGCUGUACUACUCGUUGCGUUGCUAUACACAAACCACUAGGUGCGUAUCUCCUCUACCGCCGUUGCCUUUAGGCCGAAAACGCCGAGUGAAUGUAUUGUGUGUAGGAAAUUUGGAACGGAAAAUCAGCCGUAUGACAAAGAAGCAGUCGCUAAAUGAAGUUUUCUCCUUCCUCUGAAACGGUUACUUGGCCAUUAAUGCAAUAUCCGCGUUAUAGAAUAAUACGGUACUCGUGCGUUCCAGUCGGCCGGACAACGGUGUCUCUACUCCGCUAACUGUGUCGACGUUUAGGAGGCGCAUAGAGAAAAAACGAAUGAUAAUAUAAAAAAAUAAACCACGGUAUAUAAAACCACUGCCUGGAGGCAAAUAGAGCGGACACGUUCUACAACAAAUGAGGUGGUGGCGUCCAAAGAGUACUACUUUCCACAUUCGUGUUUCCCCUCCUUGCAAUACUGUAACUAUUGUCGAUCCACUCGUUUCUAAGCUUUCGCGAGCCUGUUGACUACCAUGACCAAUGUUAUUCUUCGGCUGGGAAUUUCAAAUGAAAGGAAUAUUGUGUUUAUGCUAAACGCCUUUAAAAUAAUUGUAUUAAUCGCAUAGUUCAGGAAGGCAAAAGUUCUUUAAGAUUUUUUACAGGACAAACGUGUUUUCACAAAAGGGUUUUGUUGUUGUUAAUGGAAACGGCCUCACCGACGGUAGGCGUCGCCCACACAAUGUCUGUGUUGUCGUCAUCCAAAAUUUAAUCCAGAACUCCUACGCUGUUCCGAAGCUUUGUUAGUGCUAGGAAAACGUUUUUGUAAAGUCGUGGGUUCUGGACUUUACUAAAACGUUUUCCUAGCUUUUGUUUUUUUUCUUUUACUGACUUCCGCAGUGAUCUUCAACUAAUAUUUUCGAACGCGUAAAGAAUCGCAGUUUGAAAAAUUGCUGUUAUUCCACUAAAACGGAUCAUCAAUGCAGUGCUAUUAUUCUAAUUUUACACUUGUACCUGCUUUAUCUAGGUCAUCGACUAUCGUACAAAAAUAUGUUUAUUUUAAAUUAUCUAUUUUCAGUAAAUAUUUAUAUGUCAGGAUUUUGAGGUUUUUUUUUCUGUUAAGAAAACAUAAACAAUUGUAGACUUUGUGAAUAAAGGUGUGUGAAAUGAAGCGCUCUCUAUAUUACAUAUUAGCCGAGUUACUUAUAAAUAAUAAAUCAUGUAUUUGAGCUGAAUGAUAAGUUGUAAAUUAUUUUUAUUAAAUAUCAUAAAUGGAGGAAUCACUAUUCGAUAAGGGUCACGUUGUUUUGUUAUCUAACUCACGUCGUUACCUAAUUACAAAUAUUCUUAUGAAAAUAACUUAUGUCCAGAGCUCAUAACUUAAAGCAUUAAAACGUGUUAUUUUAAGCGCUAUAAUAAACACUUAAAAAUAUUGUUUUUAGCGAUUAAUAUGGACCAAAAACACAAAAAUAUAGAAAAAAAAGUCAAGUUCAAUUUAAUGAACAUUUUUGCAAUUUUAGUCUGUUACUUAACGAAAAAUUGCAAUUCCAUUAUCAAAAAUUUAAUAUAUAAUUUUUGUAUAAGACAAUAGAGUUUUAUUAAGUAAUAAGGACGACGGCCAAGUCUGAUUUGUAAUAUACAAUAAUUUCACAUCUACUCGUAUAUUUAUCAUUUAUACAAUUUUUACUAAGGCAACCUAAACAUACAGUGGAGAAAAUUUAGCGACUUUUAAACAUUUAUUCUUUAUGCUUUAUAAAAAAUAUUAUAUUUAAGAAGAACGCCUCCUUUGUGUCCCUAAAUUAAGAAAAAUUUAAAAAGUUCCAGAUUAUUUUGUCUUAAAUUGGGAGAUAUUAGUUAUGACAAGUCAAUUGAUUUCAGACUACAUUGCAACACAGCAAUAGGUUAUUAUAAACACUUAUAUCAUUAUACGUGCAUUAAUUCCGAAAUUGUUUUUUUUGUUCAAUAGUUGUAAAAAAAAAUUGUACAUGUUUUGACCUUCCUGAUAAUUUUCUCUAUUAUGAUACUGAAAUAGCGCUAAAAAUACAUAAUAAACAAAAUAGCACUUCACAUUUGAAAUAUGUAACAUGAAAUUUCGUAUUUAGGUUAUUAUUUUUCUGCAAUACAUUUUUAAAUUACGUAGGUACCCCUUUAAAAAAUAUACCAAGGCUAGAAAUUAUGAGUACUACUUAUAUCAUUAAUAAGCAAUAGAACUAAUCAUUUAAGACUACUUCUAAUAAUACAAUCAACAUUUUUGUUCGUAUCUUAGCACCGACCGUUUUGUUGUGACAAUUAAUGUUUAUGCUUCGCUUUAUGUUUUGUAUUACGGGCACAUCAAUAGUGUUCUGGUUACCAUUGAAUUAUUGUAAUUUUUAUUAUUUAGUGAAAUCCCCACCAUAAAAAAACAUACUUGAGCGGCCUACGAUUGACUUGUCUCUCUGUUAUCGCCGCUUUUUUUCGUGAUGUAUAAUUACCCAGAGCAGAUGUUUUAACGUGCUGUACUUUGCAAUUACACGUACUACGUAUUUAUGUGCCGACAAAUGCAAUUUUUUCGAUGUUAUAUGUACUAAGUAAUCAUAAAGAACAAUUGAUUUCUCCAAAAUAAUUAAUGUUUUGUAGUAACUGCGAUAAUUGCCACCUACUGGGCUUUUCGAUUUUCUCUUUUAGGUUUAAUUUCCAGGGUCGCCUCGUUGGCGUCAGUCAUAUGUAUGUAAAUAAGUUUAAUUGUCAAAGAUGUGUUAAUUUUGAGUAGCACGACAGUGAUAAGGUUGAAAAUAUUGUGGGAUUUUGUUGCUUUAAAUGUCGUUAAAAAAUUUAUGGAACUCUGGUUGUGUCCUAUUACAUAUUUGCUAAAUUGUUGUAUUCUUUUAUAAAAACAGCUGUUUGCCGUCCAUACUCGGACUAAUGUUACGUAGGUAGUCAUACACGUAUUAACUUUGUUUGUUGGGCGUCUGAAUAAGUAUGUGAGAAUGUAACACUUUCACUCGGCGCAUCGAACAAGAUUAUUUUUAGGGUCACUGUCGCCGUUCGCAAAGUGUCGCAUAACCGUUCGCUAAGUAAUCCGGACAAACUAGUUAUGAUUUGGGAAUGGGUUAACCUCGCAAAUUUGGCUCACAUUAGCAUAAAUCGUUGACGUACACAUUGCGUUUGCUGAUGAUUAGCGCCGAUAUACGCCGUAGGUCGUUAAUGAAAAUAUUUACCUAAUAUAAACCUACCGGCGGAUAGCGUGUGGUGAACUCGCCCUCAUGUGCCUACGUGUGCAGCACCACCGACUCAUCGUAUCGCAGCAACCGGCGCGCCCGUAUGAACAAUAAUGAUAAUUAAGUAUGUUUGAUUGCAUGUAUAGUACUUAUGGUGGGCGAUCAUACAGAAUACGAGCGGCGUCGUUGCGUUGUGUGUGCGUGUUCAUUGAGCAGUGUAGUUACGUCCUAGGCUAGGUUUUAAUAAUAUCUGUGUGUGGGUCCUCCCGGGACUCGCUAGUUUAUAUUUGUUCCCGAUGGUGGCGGCCGGUGUAUUUAUUAAUACGAGAUAACGUUGUUGAGAAUAUGAAUUUUUUUCCCGUUUAGAAAUAACUCGCACGCGCGGGCAAAAGAAGUUUUUCUUUGUCGCCUUCUCCUCCAACGUUUACUCGUUCCCACGUAUCGGUUGCGCAGUGCGGCGUCCCUUGCACACCACAUAAACGCUGCCGUCUGUUCACAAAACGUUGUUAUCUCUGCGUAUGAUUCUGUACGAGAAAAACUACUGUGGGAGCCCCCAGCGACAAUUGUGUACAAGUCGGGGGAGACUCGGCCACAGACACCCACAACAUCGCCGUGCAUUUUAAUCGGUAUGCACACACGAUAUAUUAUUCUCCUUCUUUCACGUCUUUAUUGUCCCGGAAAACCAUUUUCGCCGCCUUCGGUUCGACCAAAAAGUUGAAAUAGAUUUCAAAGUAUACGUGUGUGUGAGUGUACUAGGGAGACCGCACCCUGCCGACAUAAACAGCGUAUUGAUCUCGCCCGGAGAGGACCAUAUAGGCGGCUGCGGUAACGCGUUGAAUGGCUGCCAAUUUUGAGGCAGGUCGUUGCAAUGCGUUUGGCAUUUUUUUUUCCACAGUUUCCCCCACCGCCUCCGUAUCAUACUCGAAUAAUAUUUUAUGCAAAUUAAGAGUUAAUUUAUUUCUACUUAAUUGUGACUCGUUGCAUUUUAUUGUUCGAAUACUUAGGUUGGUAUUAUUCUUGACUUAAUUCCCAGUAAAUGUAGAGGAUAAUGUAUCAAGCUCACAUUAACAUAUAAACAAUAAAAAUUUUACUUGUAAAAAAAACUUGUAAAUUUGAAUAAAAACUAUAAAAUUAUAUUUUCAUGCGGUACACAACC